rnacentral:rRNA from 1 species
GACGAACGCUGGCGGCGUGCUUAACACAUGCAAGUCGAGCGAAGCUUCUUCCUUCGGGAAGAAUGACUUAGCGGCGAACGGGUGAGUAACACGUGGGCAACCUGCCCUUAGCUCUGGGAUAAGCGAUGGAAACGUCGUCUAAUACCGGAUACGACACGGGACGGCAUCAUCUCCGUGUGGAAAGAAUUUCGGCUAAGGAUGGGCCCGCGGCCUAUCAGCUUGUUGGUGGGGUAAUGGCCUACCAAGGCUUCGACGGGUAACCGGCCUGAGAGGGCGACCGGUCACACUGGGACUGAGACACGGCCCAGACUCCUACGGGAGGCAGCAGUGGGGAAUAUUGCACAAUGGGCGAAAGCCUGAUGCAGCGACGCCGCGUGAGGGAUGACGGCCUUCGGGUUGUAAACCUCUUUCAGCAGGGACGAAGCGAAAGUGACGGUACCUGCAGAAGAAGGACCGGCCAACUACGUGCCAGCCGCCGCCGUAA